rnacentral:rRNA from 1 species
ACGAACGCUGGCGGCAGGCCUAACACAUGCAAGUCGAGCGCAGUCCUUCGGGACCGAGCGGCGGACGGGUUAGUAACGCGUGGGAACAUACCCUUUUCUACGGAAUAGCCUCGGGAAACUGAGAGUAAUACCGUAUAAGCCCUUCGGGGGAAAGAUUUAUCGGGAAAGGAUUGGCCCGCGUUAGAUUAGAUAGUUGGUGGGGUAAUGGCCUACCAAGUCUACGAUCUAUAGCUGGUUUUAGAGGAUGAUCAGCAACACUGGGACUGAGACACGGCCCAGACUCCUACGGGAGCAGCAGUGGGGAAUCUUAG